rnacentral:rRNA from 1 species
CACACCGCCCGUCACACCAUGGGAGUGGGUUGCACCAGAAGUAGCUAGUCUAACCUUCGGGAGGACGGUUACCACGGUGUGAUUCAUGACUGGGGUGAAGUCGUAACAAGGUAGCCGUAGGGGAACCUGCGGCUGGAUCACCUCCUUAAUCGACGACA